rnacentral:misc_RNA from 1 species
CCUUCCUCUUUCUUGCUUUCUUGCUUUGUGCAAGAACUCCUUGUUGAUGUGAUUCUCUCCACUUGUAUAAUCUCCCAAAAAACAGACCCCCAUAUCCAUUACCCUUUACAAAAAGAGAGAAAGCUCAUCAACAAUAUCAACAGCCAUGGUUUUUUCUUCUAUCCCAGCUUAUCUUGAUCCAGCCAACUGGCAACAACAACCAAAUUAUCAUCAUCACCAACCAGGAGCAACUAGCGGUCUAAACUCUCAUCAGCAUCCUCCUCCUCCUCCUCCACCACCACCAUCGACAUACUUCUUGCGUCCGUAGACCUCCUUCACGACCUCUUGUUG